rnacentral:rRNA from 1 species
GGAGCUUGCUCCACCGGGAAAAGAGGAGUGGCGAACGGGUGAGUAACACGUGGGUAACCUGCCCAUCAGAAGGGGAUAACACUUGGAAACAGGUGCUAAUACCGUAUAACAAUCGAAACCGCAUGGUUUCGUUUUGAAAGGCGCUUUACGGUGCCGCUGAUGGAUGGACCCGCGGUGCAUUAGCUAGUUGGUGAGGUAACGGCUCACCAAGGCCACGAUGCAUAGCCGACCUGAGAGGGUGAUCGGCCACAUUGGGACUGAGACACGGCCCAAACUCCUACGGGAGGCAGCAGUAGGGAAUCUUCGGCAAUGGACGAAAGUCUGACCGAGCAACGCCGCGUGAGUGAAGAAGGUUUUCGGAUCGUAAAACUCCUGUUGUUAGAGAAGAACAAGGGUGAGGAGUAACUGUUCACCCCUUGACGGUAUCUAACCAGAAAGCCACGGCUAACUACGUGCCAGCAGCCGCGGUAAUACGUAGGUGGCAAGCGUUGUCCGGAUUUAUUGGGCGUAAAGCGAGCGCAGGCGGUUUCUUAAGUCUGAUGUGAAAGCCCCCGGCUCAACCGGGGAGGGUCAUUGGAAACUGGGAGACUUGAGUGCAGAAGAGGAGAGUGGAAUUCCAUGUGUAGCGGUGAAAUGCGUAGAUAUAUGGAGGAACACCAGUGGCGAAGGCGGCUCUCUGGUCUGUAACUGACGCUGAGGCUCGAAAGCGUGGGGAGCAAACAGGAUUAGAUACCCUGGUAGUCCACGCCGUAAACGAUGAGUGCUAAGUGUUGGAGGGUUUCCGCCCUUCAGUGCUGCAGCUAACGCAUUAAGCACUCCGCCUGGGGAGUACGACCGCAAGGUUGAAACUCAAAGGAAUUGACGGGGGCCCGCACAAGCGGUGGAGCAUGUGGUUUAAUUCGAAGCAACGCGAAGAACCUUACCAGGUCUUGACAUCCUUUGACCACUCUAGAGAUAGAGCUUCCCCUUCGGGGGCAAAGUGACAGGUGGUGCAUGGUUGUCGUCAGCUCGUGUCGUGAGAUGUUGGGUUAAGUCCCGCAACGAGCGCAACCCUUAUUGUUAGUUGCCAUCAUUUAGUUGGGCACUCUAGCAAGACUGCCGGUGACAAACCGGAGGAAGGUGGGGAUGACGUCAAAUCAUCAUGCCCCUUAUGACCUGGGCUACACACGUGCUACAAUGGGAAGUACAACGAGUCGCGAAGUCGCGAGGCUAAGCUAAUCUCUUAAAGCUUCUCUCAGUUCGGAUUGUAGGCUGCAACUCGCCUACAUGAAGCCGGAAUCGCUAGUAAUCGCGGAUCAGCACGCCGCGGUGAAUACGUUCCCGGGCCUUGUACACACCGCCCGUCACACCACGAGAGUUUGUAACACCCGAAGUCGGUGAGGUAACCUUUUGGAGCCAGCCUC